GAAUUUUGGACAAUGGGCGAAAGCCUGAUCCAGCAAUGCCGCGUGCAGGAUGGAGGCCUUCGGGUUGUAAACUGCUUUUGUACGGAACGAAAAGCUUUGGGUUAAUACCCUGGAGCCAUGACGGUACCGUUAGAAUAAGCACCGGCUACCUCAGUGCCAGCAGCAGCGGUAAUUCGUAGGGUGCAAGCGUGAAUCGGAAUUCCUGGGCGUAAAGCGUGCGAAGGCGGUUUUGUGAGACAGAGGUGAAAUCCCCGGGCUCAACCUGGGAACUGCCUUUGUGACUGCAAGGCUAGAGUACGGCAGAGGGGGGUGGAAUUCCGCGUGUAGCAGUGAAAUGCGUAGAUAUGCGGAGGAACACCGAUGGCGAAGGCAACCCCCUGGGCCUGUACUGACGCUCAUGCACGAAAGCGUGGGGAGCAAACA
rnacentral:rRNA from 1 species